rnacentral:rRNA from 1 species
UACGGAGGGGGCUAGCGUUGUUCGGAAUUACUGGGCGUAAAGCGCACGUAGGCGGUUUUUCAAGUCAGAGGUGAAAGCCCGGGGCUCAACUCCGGAAUUGCCUUUGAAACUGGGAGACUUGAACACGGGAGAGGUGAGUGGAAUUCCGAGUGUAGAGGUGAAAUUCGUAGAUAUUCGGAGGAACACCAGUGGCGAAGGCGGCUCACUGGACCGUUGUUGACGCUGAGGUGCGAAAGCGUGGGGAGCAAACAGG